CAAAGCAAGAAGAAGCGCCCGCUUCUCACCUGAUUGACUAGAGGUUGACAGGUUACAUGAUUGUGAUAAACACGUAUGUAGAAGUGUGGGCGAAAUAUGCACCCACAUUUUUUUUAUGUA
rfam:Bacillus cellulosilyticus DSM 2522, complete genome.